AUUGAACGCUGGCGGCAGGCUUAACACAUGCAUGUCGAGCGGGGUGAUGGUGCUUGCACCAUCACUUAGCGGCGGACGGGUGAGUAUUGCUUAGGCAUCCGCCUCUUCGUGGGGGACCACCUUUCGAAAGGAACGCUAAUACCGCAUACGUCCUACGGGAGACAGCAGGGGACUUUCGGUCCUUGCGCUAAUAGCUGAGCCUAAGUCGGUUUAGCUAGUUGGUGGGGUAAAGGCCUACCCAUGUGACGAUCUGUAGCGGGUCUGAGAGGAUGAUCCGCCAAACUGGGACUGAGACGCGGCCCAGGCACCUACGGGAGGCAGCAGUGGGGAAUAUUGGACAAUGGGCGGGAGCCUGUUCCAGCCAUGCCGCGUGUGUGAAGAGGGCCUUAGGGUUGUAAAGCACUUUAAGCGAGGAGGAGGCUACUUUAGUUAAUACCUAGAGAUAGUGGACGUUACUCGCAGAAUAAGCACCGGCUAACUCUGUGCCAGCCGCCGCAGUAAAAC
rnacentral:rRNA from 1 species